UAAAGCGUGCGCAGGCGGUUAUGUAAGACAGAUGUGAAAUCCCCGGGCUCAACCUGGGAACUGCAUUUGUGACUGCAUGGCUAGAGUACGGUAGAGGGGGAUGGAAUUCCGCGUGUAGCAGUGAAAUGCGUAGAUAUGCGGAGGAACACCGAUGGCGAAGGCAAUCCCCUGGACCUGUACUGACGCUCAUGCACGAAAGCGUGGGGAGCAAACAGGAUUAGAUACCCUGU
rnacentral:rRNA from 1 species